rnacentral:rRNA from 1 species
UACGUAGGUCGCAAGCGUUGUCCGGAUUUACUGGGCGUAAAGAGCGCGCAGGCGGCUGGUCAAGUCCGAUGUGAAAUCUCCCGGCUCAACUGGGAAACUGCAUCGGAAACUGAUCGGCUUGAAGAUGGGAGAGGGUAGUGGAAUUCCCGGUGUAGCGGUGAAAUGCGUAGAUAUCGGGAGGAACAUCAGUGGCGAAGGCGGCUACCUGGCCCAAUACUGACACUCAGGUCGCGACAG